GUGCCAUCUCUGUGUCCCAAUGCCGCUAAUCAGUGCCAUCUCUCUCUCCCAAUAUAGCUAAUCAGUGCCAUCUCUCUCUCCCAAUAUAGCUAAUCGGUGCCAUCUCUGUGUCCCAAUAUAGCUAAUCAGUGCCAUCUCUCUCUCCCAAUAUAGCUAAUCGGUGCCAUCUCUGUGUCCCAAUAUAGCUAAUCGGUGUCAUCUGUGUCCCAAUAUAGCUAAUUAGAGAUAUUUUGGUCUCAAAAUAUCUUUGUCCCCAUCUUGUCAGUGCCACUUUUGUUUCCAAAUAGCCAUUUUUGUGCCCAAAUCGCUGAUCAGUGUCAUUUCUUUUUCCAAACAGCUUGCCAG